rnacentral:rRNA from 1 species
GGACUACCAUGGCUCUCACGGGUAACAGGGAAUUUGGGUUCGAUUCUGGAGAAGGAGCCUGAGAAACGGCUACUACAUCUACGGAAGGCAGCAGGCGCGUAAAUUACCCAAUCCUGACUCAGGGAGGUGGUGACAAGAUAUAACAACGCGAU